AUUGAACGCUGGCGGCAGGCCUAACACAUGCAAGUCGAGCGAGCGGCGGACGGGUGAGUAAUGUCGGGGAAACUGCCUGGGGGAGGGGGAUCACUACUGGAAACGGUAGCUAAUACCGCAUACUAUCAGAUGCGCCUAGGUGGGAUUAGCUAGUUGGUGGGGGAAGGGCACACCAAGGCGACGAUCCCUAACUGGUCUGAGAGGAUGAUCAGUCACACUGGAACUGAGACACGGUCCAGACUCCUACGGGAGGCAGCAGUGGGGAAUAUUGGACAAUGGGCGAAAGCCUGAUCCAGCCAUGCCGCGUGUAUGAAGAAGGCCUUCGGGUUGUAAAGUACUUUCAGCGGGGAGGCGUUACCCGCAGAAGAAGCACCGGCUAACUCCGUGCCAGCAGCCGCGGUAAUAC
rnacentral:rRNA from 1 species